AGAGUUUGAUCCUGGCUCAGGAUGAACGCUAGCUACAGGCUUAACACAUGCAAGUCGAGGGGCAGCAUGGUCUUAGCUUGCUAAGACUGAUGGCGACCGGCGCACGGGUGAGUAACACGUAUCCAACCUGCCGUCUACUCUUGGACAGCCUUCUGAAAGGAAGAUUAAUACAAGAUGGCAUCAUGAGUCCGCAUGUUCACAUGAUUAAAGGUAUUCCGGUAGACGAUGGGGAUGCGUUCCAUUAGAUAGUAGGCGGGGUAACGGCCCACCUAGUCUUCGAUGGAUAGGGGUUCUGAGAGGAAGGUCCCCCACAUUGGAACUGAGACACGGUCCAAACUCCUACGGGAGGCAGCAGUGAGGAAUAUUGGUCAAUGGGCGAGAGCCUGAACCAGCCAAGUAGCGUGAAGGAUGACUGCCCUAUGGGUUGUAAACUUCUUUUAUAAAGGAAUAAAGUCGGGUAUGGAUACCCGUUUGCAUGUACUUUAUGAAUAAGGAUCGGCUAACUCCGUGCCAGCAGCCGCGGUAAUACGGAGGAUCCGAGCGUUAUCCGGAUUUAUUGGGUUUAAAGGGAGCGUAGAUGGAUGUUUAAGUCAGUUGUGAAAGUUUGCGGCUCAACCGUAAAAUUGCAGUUGAUACUGGAUAUCUUGAGUGCAGUUGAGGCAGGCGGAAUUCGUGGUGUAGCGGUGAAAUGCUUAGAUAUCACGAAGAACUCCGAUUGCGAAGGCAGCCUGCUAAGCUGCAACUGACAUUGAGGCUCGAAAGUGUGGGUAUCAAACAGGAUUAGAUACCCUGGUAGUCCACACGGUAAACGAUGAAUACUCGCUGUUUGCGAUAUACGGCAAGCGGCCAAGCGAAAGCGUUAAGUAUUCCACCUGGGGAGUACGCCGGCAACGGUGAAACUCAAAGGAAUUGACGGGGGCCCGCACAAGCGGAGGAACAUGUGGUUUAAUUCGAUGAUACGCGAGGAACCUUACCCGGGCUUAAAUUGCAGAUGAAUUACGGUGAAAGCCGUAAGCCGCAAGGCAUCUGUGAAGGUGCUGCAUGGUUGUCGUCAGCUCGUGCCGUGAGGUGUCGGCUUAAGUGCCAUAACGAGCGCAACCCUUGUUGUCAGUUACUAACAGGUUCUGCUGAGGACUCUGACAAGACUGCCAUCGUAAGAUGUGAGGAAGGUGGGGAUGACGUCAAAUCAGCACGGCCCUUACGUCCGGGGCUACACACGUGUUACAAUGGGGGGUACAGAGGGCCGCUACCACGCGAGUGGAUGCCAAUCCCAAAAACCUCUCUCAGUUCGGACUGGAGUCUGCAACCCGACUCCACGAAGCUGGAUUCGCUAGUAAUCGCGCAUCAGCCACGGCGCGGUGAAUACGUUCCCGGGCCUUGUACACACCGCCCGUCAAGCCAUGGGAGCCGGGGGUACCUGAAGUGCGUAACCGCGAGGAGCGCCCUAGGGUAAAACUGGUGACUGGGGCUAAGUCGUAACAAGGUAGCCGUACCGGAAGGUGCGGCUGGAACACCU
rnacentral:rRNA from 1 species